CGACCAUUUUUUCUGAAUCUCAUAGAGAACACCCAAAAACCAGCCCACCCCUUGAACUUCUGCGACGCCGACCAGCCCGAGCCAACAGCCACCACCCCACCACCAUCUUCUCCACACGCACACAUAGCUCCUCUUUCUUCUAAGAAAUAACGUUCUUGAUUCGAGAUUUUCCUUUGCCAUGGCUUUUAAUUCGAGUUUUUCCUUCUUUUUGAUUUUGUUUCACUAAUAUAAUCAAAAAACAAAAAAAGGAUUUCAGAUGGUUUAGCUUCAUUUUUAAUUCCAAACUCAGAAUACAUAAUGAGAAGUUAGUCUAUUACGUUGGCUUCGAUUUUCAAAUGUUGGAGUUGAUGUUCAAGUAAGGCUGUCAGUCGAGGUCGGAGCUCGCGAUUAUUGUCCCUAAUUUAUAGCUGAUUUUUCGAUCAAAUUUCAUCACCGAGUCGCGCACACAGUCGGGCGGAGCAUAUCUUUGUAUUAACUGAUCCUACUCGUUUUAAAAAAGGGCAUAUCUCAGAUGACCAUUAGUAAUUCGGGAAUACGAGAAAUGGAUUCGUGAUGAUAUUCUUGCUAAACAUGAUCAAAAAAAGGAUAAGAAAGACCAUUACAAGAAAAGCAAGUCAACAUUGCCUAUAAUGUUGGAUUUUGGAGUUGAUGAAGUCACUUCAAAAAAUUGGUUUUACCUUUCUCAUUUGACGGUAAAUUAUUGAAUGACUAUGUAUGCUGAUACAGAUAGUAAUGCAAGUGCAGCCAAAGAAGAAAAUAUUUUAUGUGAGUACAUAAGGGGCUACAGAUUUCUAGCUAAUGUACCAUGGCAUACGGUUGCCAAUGUCUUGAUACUAGUCAAGUUGCAGGACAAACUUUAUUGGAUAUUGGCAGUUGUCUCAUUCAAGAAAAGAUGUAUCAAUGUAUAUAUACCGAUCAACAGGUCAUGAUGCCUAUGUGGGUUUUGAGAUAGAUAAGCUUGCUAAGCUUGUACCUCUAUAUCUAUCGAUCAAUGGUUUUUACAGAUAUAAGCAAGACAUAGAUUAGUCUCGUGAACCAGCAUACAAUGACAAGGCACAAACUGAUCUUUUUGAUGUUGUAUUCAUUUCGAAUCUGCCUCAACAAAAGGCUGGGAGCAUGGAUUGUGGGUUGCAUGUCGCGGCAUACGUAGAGUAUCCGAGCACAUUUGGUUUGGUUCCACAAACAACAUUUGAUGCCAAUUUACUCCGUCAAAGAUAUGGUGCCCUCAUUUGGGACUAUGCUAUGCGGAAGAUAGACCCGGUGCCAUAAGCGAGAAUGAAGCACCCUCAAAGAUUCUUAGGCAAAUCACAGAUUCGGAUACUUCUAUGAAGAUAGUUUUAGAAUAGUUUUCUGUGAAGAUGUAUUUUGAAGAUGGUUUCUCUGAAGAUAGUUUAUGAAGAUAGUUUUUUUAACAUAGUUUUCUGUGAAGAAUAGUCCUUUGUGAAGAUAGUUUUUGAAGCUUAUUAAAGAACACAUGAUGGUUUUAGUCAA